UACGGGGGGGGCAAGCGUUGUUCGGAAUUACUGGGCGUAAAGGGCUCGUAGGCGGCCAACUAAGUCAGGCGUGAAAUCCCUCGGCUUAACCGGGGAACUGCGUCUGAUACUGGAUGGCUUGAGAUUGGGAGAGGGAUGCGGAAUUCCAGGUGUAGCGGUGAAAUGCGUAGAUAUCUGGAGGAACACCGGUGGCGAAGGCGGCAUCCUGGACCAACACUGACGCUGAGGAGCGAAAGCCAGGGGAGCAAACGGG
rnacentral:rRNA from 1 species